GACGAACGCUGGCGGCGUGCUUAACACAUGCAAGUCGUACGGUAAGGCCCUUUCGGGGGUACACGAGUGGCGAACGGGUGAGUAACACGUGAGUAACCUGCCCACAACUUUGGGAUAACGCUAGGAAACUGGUGCUAAUACUGGAUAUGUGCUCCUGCUGCAUGGUGGGGGUUGGAAAGCUCCGGCGGUUGUGGAUGGACUCGCGGCCUAUCAGCUUGUUGGUGGGUAGUGGCCUACCAAGGCGGCGACGGGUAGCCGGCCUGAGAGGGUGACCGGCCACAUUGGGACUGAGAUACGGCCCAGACUCCUACGGGGGGCAGCAGUGGGGAAUAUUGCACAAUGGGCGCAAGCCUGAUGCAGCAACGCCGCGUGCGGGAUGACGGCCUUCGGGUUGUAAACCGCUUUCAGCAGGGACGAAGCUUUUUGUGACGGUACCUGCAGAAGAAGCACCGGCUAACUACGUG
rnacentral:rRNA from 1 species